AGAAUGCGUAGUGGGGCUCCCAUGCCCUGUGUUCGUUUUGAUGCUACCCUGCUCUUGAUUUUGUGCUUCUAAAUGUGAACAGAUCCGCAUCUGUAGUUAAGUUUAAACGAACGAGGACAAAUGUAUUCGGUCUACAUUCGAAAUGGACAUAUUUAUUCACCAGACAAGCACAACUAGGUGGAAUAAAUGAGCUAUCCGCAUGUACGAUAGCCAUGAGGCUAACGUUUCAGCUCAGAAGUGACUAGAAAGUAAAGCACCGGAAACAAGAAAUCUGACCACUUUAAACAUCUGAAUUCAUCUACAGCCCUUCUGAGAGCAGCUACUUACAAACAGCAGUGAAAGCUGGAGAAGCUGAGGUGAAAUAAGAGCAAACCACACCGAGACAAGCUCAGCAAAGAUGCCAGGGAGCGUUAUUUGGAUAAAUGAUCAUCUGUUAUGGCAACGAUGAGCUAAGCUGGUUGCAAGCGGGUGGAACAGCGAUCGUGUUUGUAAUUGUUCAUGCUGCUUUUUGUCUGUGUCUAUUUACAAGCACAAAUAAAGUACAUAUAAAUUUUA